rnacentral:lncRNA from 12 species
GAGAAGAUUGCACUGAAUGCUGGGUAGAGAAUGCAUUGGAGGGGGUGUCUCAGCUACCUAGUGCUACCAUGUGCUGUGUAACAAAGUACCCUCAAUCUUAGUGUUUGACAACAUUGUUAUUGUCAGGAAUAACAUCUGAUUUCUCAUUCUUCACAAGCCUAGGGGUCAGCUGGGCUGGGCUGAUCCUGCUUGGGCUUGUCUGUGCAUCUUCAGUCCACUUGCAGGCUGGCAGGGGCAGGCUGGUCUAGGAUGGCGGGAGCUAGUUUGAAUUUGCUCUGCUCCAUGUGACCCAAGAGCAAGAGCAGUUAUAGGUAAAGCUUCUUGAGACAUCAGAACUCCACAUCAUUGCUUCUGUCACAUUCCACUGACCAAAGUAAGUCACAAGGCUAGAUGUCAGACACAGGGAAACAGACUCUGCCUUUUGUGGAGAGGAGACGCAAAGUCCCAUUGCAAAGUAUACAAACAGAGGCAGGAGGAAAGAAUUAAAGAAUUAGGAUCAUUUUUGCUGUCAAUGUACCAUAGGGGACAAGACUGUGAGGGAGGAGAAGAAGCUAGGAACCCACUGUAGACACCCAGGCAAGAGAGGACAGUGGCUUGCACUUGGGAGGUGGACAUGCUCAUGGAAUAGAGAAUAUAAAAGUGGAGGAUGGAAUUCCUAUGGAACCCUGAGCACCUGUUGGACACAGAGACCUUCGGUACACAGUCGCUUCCCUGGCUUCAAUGUUUGGAGGAGCCUGGCCCGGGAACCCUGCAGUCAGGAUGGCUGUGGACGCCCCGUGGGGACUUCUCGGGCACUUGCAGGAUCCCGGGCACCGAAAGCACGGCCGACUCCAACCGAGGCCUCAGUGACUCCCAUCCUAGGCCUUUGAGGAAUCACCACAACUGCCCUUAUUUUCACUGCCUUUAAAAAAAUCCCUUCUUCUUGGGGCUCGGCCUGUGAAGUGUCUGCCUUCAGCUCAGGUCAUGAUCCCAGGGUCCUGGGAUCGAGCCCCACGCCGGGCUCCCUGCUCCUUGGGGAGUCUGCUUCUCUCUCUCCCUCUGCCUGCUGCUCCCCCUGCUUGUGUCAUCUCCUUUUCAAAUAAAUAAUAAAUAAACAUCUUUAAAAAAUAAAAU